GUAUUUGUUUGCGCUGUUACACGCUCAUAUAACUUUAUAUACAUUCAAAGACUUUGUAGGUGUGUAUAAAAACAAUUCAUAGCGAGGGCCUUUCAAAGCCGUUUCCAGCUUUAACGAUCGUCCCAAGCUACAGGUUGUGCACAGGUGUGAGUGGAUGAGUGAUCAAGGUGUGCACAUGCCCCAAGGGGGGGCCAGCUACAACCCUUCUCGACGUUCAUUUCAUUAAUGAUCCUUCCGCAGGUUCACCUACGGAAA
rnacentral:misc_RNA from 1 species